UAGGGAAUCUUCGGCAAUGGGGGAAACCCUGAUGCAGCGACGCCGCGUGAGCGAAGAAGGUUUUCGAAUCGUAAAGCUCUGUCCUAUGAGAAGAUAAUGACGGUAUCAUAGGAGGAAGCCCCGGCUAAAUACGUGCCAGCAGCCGCGGUAAUACGUAUGGGGCGAGCGUUGUCCGGAAUUAUUGGGCGUAAAGGGUACGUAGGCGGUCUAUUAAGUCAGGUGUGAAAGCGUGAGGCUUAACCUCAUUAAGCACUUGAAACUGAUAGACUUGAGUGAAGGAGAGGAAAGUGGAAUUCCUAGUGUAGCGGUGAAAUGCGUAGAUAUUAGGAGGAAUACCGGUGGCGAAGGCGACUUUCUGGACUUUUACUGACGCUCAGGUACGAAAGCGUGGGGAGCAAACAGG
rnacentral:rRNA from 1 species